rnacentral:lncRNA from 1 species
GUUGACCCUAGAAACUACAAAGGCCUACGUGGCGCGCAGGCCGAGUAUUUUCUAAGCUAACUACGUCCUUCGGUGAUUGCGGGGCGUGCCAACUCGUCGGCCGAGCUCGGCCGAGGAGUAAAUUUGAUGAUGUUGCGUCGAGCGCGCUGCUGACUUCUGUGUCUUGCGAUUGCGGCCGAGGAAGGAACAAUUCUCAGCCUCUUGGGUUCUAGAGCCUGAAGACAAGGCUGCUAAUUUGCGAAGUUCAAUCUCAAAUUCGGCUGUCAAUGUGCCGAAUACAGUAACCUGGUAACACCUCACUUCGCCGAGAAGGCUGAUGAGAUGACCUCGACCAAUAGGGAUUCGGAAAUCCUUCUCGACCGAGACUUGGAUAGGUAACCAGUCGUCCUCGCCGCAGUGCUGUUGAUGCCAACGAAAGAUACUGCGAGACCGACUGACUCUACGGUGACAGAGCUAUCUAUGCCGACUUAAGAUAUCACCGGUUGCUUCCACAGUGCUGUUGAUGCCAACGGAAGAUGUGUCAGCGAAGAAAGGAAAAAGAAAAAUCACAAGUUGUGAGAGUUUGCGCAGGGCAAUUUUUGUAUUGAUUUUGUAGGGGCUUUUCCUGAUGCACAGCGUCCCCUAUUUUAUAGUACUGAACCUUGAGUCCGAGUUUACAUCCUACUCGGACUAGGUUUCCCUCUCCGGAUCACCUCGACCAGUCCUACACCUAUUAGGACUAUGAACCUAGUCCUUAGCUAAGCUGGAUUAAUUUCCUGGAUAUCCGAUCCCGUCGAGACUCCCCAUUGCACUAGGAUUCGUCUUAACCGCCAUAGGUUUGGACUCCCACGGGUUGACCGAUCCAUGGUCCUUUUGCCGCCCGGCCUCCUGGGCCGAGAGUGAUCCUACCCUCGGCCCAAACUAUUAUUUUGGGCCCAAACAUUGCCCCCUCGCUUCUGAGGUCCUCGGCUUGAAACCUUCGGCCGAGUUUCGGCCUUGAAGAAGCGAAUCUACCACUCAGGAUCCUAAUACCUGAGUUCCAAGGCGCAUUUAUUGAGCACGAUCGCACGAUCUUGAUCCUGCUAACCCACUCGCCACGUGGCGUCCUCUAACAUGGCCAAUCCCCCAUAAUGACGUCUAAGGCGUGCGGCAGCCUGAACCGUCUUGCCAUCAUGACCACUAUCUCAAUCCGCGAGCCACUACCUCAGUCCGUGAGCCCACUUGUCAUCGUGCGGGCGUCGAACCGUCUUUCGUCAUUAAUUUCGCCGUCACACGCAAUCCUGCGCCCCCAAAACCCUGACCUUCGGUCUUCUCAACCGCAUUUCCCAAAUGUUCGUCAUGAUCGACAAUUCCUUCGGUCGAUUUUGCCCUUUGUUUUGAAUUUCGAACGAUUGCUCUUCCCCCUAUAACUCUAUAAAUACCGAAAUUCCCUCAUUUGUACCUUUACGCUCUCAAACUUCCUGAAAUCCUCUGCCGUUGAUUUCUAGUGCAUUUCUCCUAUUCCAAGUCUUCGUCUUUAAAUCCCCAACCCAGACAACCCUUCUACUCCGUGCUUCUUUCUCACAAUGGCGUCCUUCAUCUCCAAGCUUUCCAGGGAGUGUGACCAACAUCAGAAGAUUUUUGAUCGGAGCUCGAUCAAGACCAUCCGGUUUGAAAACGACAUGAGCACCCAGUACCAAAUCAUGGGCCCUCUCUUCAAGGCUACAAUACCGCCGACUAUCAUCGGCCUUCUACAGGAGCACUGCCUAACACCCUUGCUUCAAGGGUUUGAAUGGUCGCGAUGGGAUGCGGCUAAGCCCCAGGGCUCCUGGCCCUCGACGACCACAUCCUGGGCAGCCUGGGUCGUUCGAAUGGAACGACUUUUCGGCGAGCAAUGGAAGGCUCUUGGCAUCUACGACGCCAUCCUCCUUUCGUCUAUGGAAAUCGUUCCCGACAAGGAGCUUCUCCAAGCCGCUCUGUGCUUCUGGUGCUCGGCCACCAACACAAUGGUCCUUCCUCUGGGUCCUAUUGGUCCCACCAUCCUGGAUAUCACUGCCAUUCUGGGGACUUCGGCGACCGAGAUCCCCGUCGACGCGACCCUCUCUGGGCAUCCGUCGAAUAUCGACCUGAAAACGCUCUUUGACCGUCGGGCCUCCGAGACCUUGAACCGUGACGGUCAUAUCCCGUCGAAGGAAGAUAUUCAGAAGCUCCACAAGAACUUCUGUAAUUACAACACCCUCUAUCUCCACUUCGCCGGCCGAGGAGAAGAGGUCAUGCGAGAGGGAGAGCAUGAAGCCUUCCUCUUCUACUGGUACAACAAAUACAUUUGUUGUACCAAAUCCAACAAGUGUUUGGUCGAGAACAUGCCGGUAGCCGAAGCCCUGGCUAGUGGUCACGUCUUGGCACUGAGUUCCAACAUUCUCGCCCAACUUUUCCGCUGCCUGGCCGAGGCGACCCUCCACAAGGUCGACCCACACCAGAAUGGUCCUCUCUGGAUCUUCCAACUCUGGUUGCAGGUAUACUUCGCCUCCCUUCGGCCGGCCAUAGCUGAAUUCUCACCAACAGAGGCGCUUGGGCCUCAACUGGCCUCUCGACCGACACCUCCCCAUCAAGCCGAAGAGGUAUUUCGGUACCUCUUCGCUCUCGACGACUUCUCCAACGACGAGUUCCUAAUAUGUCGUCGUCGAGACUACCCUUCCUCCAUCAGGCUGCCUACCUCCCCAUGGAGCGCGGAGGAAGACGCCGAUCUUCGUCAGACCUGGGGGUCGUUUGUGCUUGCUCGCGACCUCCCUCUCGGCUGUGAUGGGAAACGGUCAGGUUGGGAAGUAUAUCAUCCGAACUUCCUUGCCCGACAGCUCGGCUACCUUCAGGGCUGCCCUAUCCCCCUUCUCUCCUCCCGAACGGUCCUAAGCCGUGGACGCGAACCUCGUUCCUCUGAGAAGGAGUGUAGAACCGCCGUGAGGGAGUUCCAAGAGCGCUGCCAAAAAUUCCGCCUUCGACCAGCCACCCCGGAAACCCAUUGCACCGACACCUUUGGUGAGUGGUGGGAGAAAUACACCCAGGAAUUCUUUGGUGCGCCGGUUGGAGAUGUGCUUAGCAGACUCUUCGGUGACCGGCCUAAGAAGGCAUCGGCCCCUCAUCCUCAAGGUACCUGUUCCACUUUCCUCCUUUCCAUCAACCUUGCAUAUUGAUUUGCCUUACUGAAUUGUCUUUAUCUUUUUAGGUAGUCGGCCUUUGAGGAAGACGGAGGCAGUUGCCGCUGUCACGGCCGAGAAAAAAUCGGUCGUGGCCCAAAAGGACAAACCCGCUGGUAGGGCUGUGCUGAACAAACGGCCUCGCCAAGAGGCCGAUCCGGCUGUUGAGCCUUCCCCGCCUGCUAAGCGGGUUAAACAAAUGGCGAAGAAAGGUACACGGGAGAUCCACGUUAUCUCCAGUCACACGACGACUCCCAGUGCUUCCCCUUCUCCCGCCGCUGGUAAUUCUGGGGUCGAGAAACAACCGGCUUUGGCGCAGAGACGGCCCUAGCGCGGCCUGCCUCUGUGGCCGACGCAUCAAUUGUCCCUCCCUCUAUCGAGAAGGCACCUGUCUCACAACAGGCGGUUUCUACGACCGAGGGAACCUCUCCCAAGAAUCCAAAUCCCUCGGUCCUCGUGUUGGAAGAGAGUGAGGGGAGCGACGAGGUCCCGCUGGCGCAUCGUCCUCAUACUCGUCGACAACCUCCUCCAGUAUCCGAGAUGGUGGUUCAAACCGGCCCCUCCUCGGCUAAUCGUGGCAAGCGCACGGUCGAGGAACCGACCCCUGUGGCCGAACCUCUCGUUCCUUCUCAGGACCAGGAAGUCCCUGCCUCUGAAGCAGCUGCGCCAAUCGGCCCAUCGGCAGCCGACCGUGGCAAACGGCUGCUCGAGGAACCCGAGGCCACGGCGGAAUCGCCGGUCCAUCCUCAAGACCAAGGCUUCCACAUUCCUCCACAGGAGGUUACCUCGGCUUUUGUAAGUACCUCCACUUGUCUCCUCCUGAUUGCUUUUCUGCUUUAGAAUUCUAAACAAGGAAAAUACUAAAUGUCAGGUGCCUAUACAUUCUUUUCACCGUCAAUUCUAUGCGCCGAAGGGCGUUAUCUAUAUUUCCUGGCCGCCUCAGUGGCCAUCAAACGUAGAUAACCUCCAUCGGCCGCGUUAAGUGAGAAGCAAUCUGAGACACUGGGCUCGGCCAUUGAGUUCUUUAGGUUCAAGCAACGAUCCUGGGGACAUGGCCGAGGUCUUCUCUCAGCAGGUUAAAAAACGACACCUUCUUGCUAUUCUUGUCAGGACUUCCUUUAAGCUUAACCUUGUCUAUUCGUGCAGGCUUCAUGGGAGGUUGAAUUCAAAGCCCUCAUUUCCAGCACGACUGCAGAGUCCGGCCCUUCGGCCGCUCCGACUGAGGCUGCCGAUCCAAGCGCCCUAACCCAGUUGCGAGAAAUCCUGUCGCUCUCAUCCUCGCAAGUACUUGAGCGCAACGGUCUUGAUCUGCUCGGCGUGUGUCUGAACGACCUUGGAGCUGACGGUCGCCUGAGCGGAGAUGCCAUUGUUCGGGCAUCGUCUGCCUUGGAGCGCGUUCGGGAGACAUUCAGUAUCUUCCAGACUGCUCUGAAGGCCGAACAAGACCUGCAAGCCGCCACGGCCGUUCAAGACACCCUCCGUCCGAAGAUUGACGAUCUACGGGCAAAAGGAGAAGCGUUAGCCGAACUCGACCGUCAGAUGGCCGAACUAGCGAAACGCCGGUCGGCCAUUGCUUCUGAGCUUGCGAGGGACUUCGAGUCAGGUGGGAAGAAUCGCCUAACUGAGUAUGCGGCGGCCAAAAAAUGGGUCGAGCGACUGAAACUGGACAAAAAGAAUCGGCAAGCCGAAGUCAUCAUGGCCGACGUGCGGUGGUUGGAGUUGAAGGCUCUGCUCAGCACUCUUCUUCCCUCGUCUCCUUGAAUGUAUUCGACCCACUCAUUUUUGUAAUACCUAUCAAUCUUAAUGGAAUGAUUUUUUUCUACUGGUACAAGAAAUUUUUUUAUUCGCGCAUUUCCCAUGUGACCGGAUAGUAUUUCUUCAAGAACUUCCCAUUAAUCGGUAAUUUGUGAACUACUCCAGUCCGGUCUUUAAGAUGAUACGCCCCUUUGCCGUAUACUUUAUGCACAAUGAACGGCCCUUCCCAAUUCGGCGACCACUUGCCGAACCUAGGAUCUUUUAAUCCUAUGGGCAACACCGUUUGCCACACCAAUUCACCUUCGCCGAACGUUUUCUGUCACACCUUCUGAUUAUAGGCUCGCUCGGCAAUCUGUUUUUGUGCCACCAGUAAGUUAUAAGCGUCAAUUCGUGCCUCUUCCAAAUCUUCCAGUCCCUGUCUUAUGGACUGAUUAUAUUCGGCGCUAAACAAACUACUUUGUUCAAUUAAUCGCAACGAAUUUAUGCUCAACUCGACUGGUAGCACCGCAUCGUGUCCGUAGGUUAAUGCGUACGGGGUUGUUGCAGUCGCCGACCGGGGCGACGUUCGGUAUGCCCAUAAUGCCUCGUUCAAUUUCAAAUGCCACAUGCCAGGCCUUUCUUUUAUUAUUUUUUCGAGGAUGCCGAUCAACACUUUAUUACUUGCCUCGGCCUGCCCAUUCGCCUGUGGAUAAUACGGUAUGGACUGUUCCAGCCGAAUUUUCAAAUUGGCCGUGUAUUCUUUAAACCUUUCGGCUGUGAAGAUUGUUCCAUUGUCAGUUAUGAUCGUUUCUGGAACACCGAAUCGGGUCACAAUGUGUUCCUCCACGAAAUCGCAAACUUCUUUGGAUGUUAACUCGGCAUAUGAUUUUGCUUCGACCCACUUAGUGAAGUAAUCAGUUGCGACUAUUAUCCAUGCAUGCUUAGCAGCUCCGGAAGUCGGCAUGAUUUUGCCGAUUACAUCCAUGGCCCAUCCUCUAAACGGCCACGGCUUAAUGACCGAAUGUAGUGAUUCGGCCGGGACCCUUUGUAUAGGCCCAUGGAUUUGGCAUUGCACGCAUCCUCGUGCAAACUCGAUACAAUCUUUCAGUAUUCUCGGCCAAAAAUAGCCAUGUCGUCGGAGUAGCCAUCGCAUUUUUCGUCCCGACUGGUGAGCCCCGCAUACCCCUUCAUGAACCUCUGCAAUCGCCCGAGCACUCUCUUGGGGGCCGAGGCAUAGCAAUAACAAACCAUCUUCGCCCUUUCGGUACAACUCGUUCUGGUACGUGACAUAGUUCGUGGCGUGAACCCAUGUCCUGCGACUAUGUUUUCCGUUAGGAUUGUCAAGGUACUGCAUAAUGGGCUUUCUCCAAUCAUCUGGUACUGCCUCGACCGUGCAAAUUUCUAUAGAGUCCUGCCGAUCUAACAACGACGGCAGGGACAUGACCCUGGUGCGUAUCACAUUGUCUCGACGGAAGAUUUGCUGAUCAACCAAGGCCGGGUAUAAUUGUCGUAAUAUUGGUAUCUCCCGGCCUAGCUUGCCCCCCAGGAGUUGUGCACCGGAGGUGAUUUGAGCCAACUCGUCUGCGUCGGUAUUAUGAACCCGGGAAACAUGCUCGAAUGUAAUACCGUCAAAAGACUCGGCCAAAUAGCUGGCGACCAUGUGGUACGGCGCCAGAGUACAACUCAUGUAGCGAAAAGACCCAUUAAUUUGGUUAAUCACUAGUUCAGAAUCCCCGAGGACGAGGACACGAGUGGCAUGUAGGUCAAGAAGGAGGCCCAGACCAAUGACCAGCGCCUCGUAUUCGGCCUGAUUAUUGGUGCAGUCGAAAUCCAAUUUGAGCGAAAAAUACCAACGAUCGUUGUGAGGAGAUUGAAUGACGAUGCCUGCGCCGGCCAAGGACGAAGUACUAGAACCAUCGAAAUACAUCGUCCAAUAAUUGUCGCGGGUCACCACCAUGCCGAUUUCGACGUCAGCACUCCCGAAACCGUAAGGCGAAGGGUGCUGGGCAAGGAAAUCGGCCAACGCCUGUCCUUUCACAGCUUUUUGCGGCACAUAUUGCAAACUGAACUCGGACAACGCCAUCGUCCAUUUCCCAAUUCGGCCCUUCACAAUUGGCCGGGUAAGCAUGUACCGGAGAACGUCGGUCUGGGCAAUAACUUGUGUGACCGUCGGGAGCAUGUAAUACCGAAGCUUGGAUGCAGCGAAGAACACGGCGAGACAAAGCUUCUCAACGGCGGAAUAAUUGAUUUUCGGAUGACUCAGAUUACAGCUGAGGUAGAAGAUAGCCUGUUCCCGUCCGACAUCGUUGUCUUGCGCAAGGAGGCAACCGAUGGACUCUUCGGCCGCCGAAAUGUAUAGCUUGAGAGGCUUGCCGCGUUAAGGAGGGACCAGGACAUGUGGGUUUGUAAGAGAAACCUUGAUCUGCGUAAACGCCGCCUGAUGCUCCUCAUUCCAUACGAACUUAUCUAAGUCCUUGAGUUUCAAAAGUGUGGAAAAUGCUUUCAUUUUACCUGCCGAAUUAGCAAUAAAUCGACGUAAAAAAUUGAUCUGGCCGAGUAAGGACUGUAAUUGUUUCUUUGUUGUUGGGGGUGGGGCAGUGAUGAUUGCGCGUGCCUUAUUCUCAUCGACUUCAAUCCCACGAUGAUGUACGAGGAAACCAAGAAAAUUUCCGGCCGAUACACCGAAGGCACACUUGGCAGGAUUCAUCUUGAGGUUGUGCUGACGCAUGCGGAGGAACGCCUGUCGGAGAUCGUCCAGAUGUGUCUGUCGGCGUUUAGAUUUGACGACAACAUCGUCGAUAUAAACUUCGACGAUGGUACCAAUCAAAUCAUGGAAGAUGGUGUUCAUUGCCCGUUGGUACGUGGCGCCGGCAUUCUUGAGGCCAAAUGGCAUGACAACCCAUUCGUAAGUGCCGAGUGCCCCCGGGCAACGGAAAGCAGUUUUGUGCACAUCGGCUUCGGCAAUAAAUAUCUGGUUGUACCCGGCAUGUCCAUCCAUAAAGGAUAAGAUCGCAUGAUUCGCCGCGGCAUCGAUUAACAGAUCUGAAAUCGGCAUUGUAUAUUCAUCUUUGGGCGUUGCCAGAUUCAGAUUUCGAAAAUCGGUGCAGAUGCGCAGUGCACCACUUUUCUUUAAUACAGGAACAAUAUUCGCCAACCAUUCGACAUAUCGAGCUGUCCGGAUGAAUCCAGCUUUCAAGAGCCGAACUAGUUCGUCCUUGACACUGAGUUGUACUUCGGUCGAGAAUCGACGAGGAGGCUGACGGAAAGGCUUGAAUCCGGGCUUAAUACGUAAUUCAUGCUCGACCAGAGCACGAUCUAAGCCGGGUAUUUCAUGAUAACUCCAAGCAAAACAAUCUUUGAAUUCCGUAAGCAAGGCCCGCAACUCGUCUUUCAUUUGCUGAGGAAGUAAAGCGCUAACAAACACAGGCCGUGGGUCACCGGCCGUCCCAACAUUAAUUUCUUCUAGGGGGUCCUUAACUUGGGGCCGAUAAUCUUCAAGCUCGGCCGGGGCCGCUCGAACUUGAUCAAAAGAUAGGGCAGGACCAGGAUCCUCUUCGGCAAGGAAUUCGACGAGGUUCACGCCUGAAUUCGGUUGCCGAGAUAUAGUAUACCAAUGGGCCAGCAGUCGUUCCAUCGUAGAUGAAACCGCGGCCCUACGUUUGUCCUGGUCUGUGUCAGACAUCAGACUCGGGGAGGAAAUUGGCCAAUCCGAGUCUCGCCGAAUCCUGGUGGACAGUCUCGGCGCCAACCUCGAUAGCUUUCUGAACCGAAAUCUGAGUCGGCCGUCCGUCUUCAUUGAAACCUUGCAAUGUAAUAUAGCCGACGUGGUCAUCAUAAUACCGGGCUUGGACCAUGUUAGCUUCGAAGGGUUGGCUAUCGGCCGGAUGAACAGUGACCGAUUUGCCGUCCCAAAAGACAAGCACUUGAUACAACGAAGAAGGAAUACAGCUGGUUUGAUGGAUCCAAUCUCGGCCGAGCAGUGCAUUAUACUCGGUUUUGGAAUCAACCACGAAAAAGGCGGUCAUGUGGGUGCGACCAACGAUAUUGACGGUUAACGGAAGUACCCCUUUGGUUUGGGAUUUGUCGCCGACGAAACUACUCAUUGUGAUUCCUGACGGAAUAAGCUCGUCAUUCGAACGGCGUAAGGCCUUCAUGAUGUUCAAAGGCAUGAUAUUGACGGUAGCCCCACAGUCGACAAAAACUUUAGAAACUGGAUACCCCUCAAUGUGAGCCGUCACAUACAAUGGCUUUAAAUGGUGAAGCUUGGCCGAUGAUGAACGAGGGAACAAUUCGGCCAAGGCAGCCUUUAAACCAUCAUCUUUUGUUGCUGACUCUCCUUCAGCAACCGAUACAAAAUCAAUAUGGCCGGGUUCUUUGGCAACCACAUCUCCAUCGAGGAAAUUUGGUUGAGCCGUGCGUGAUUGAAAAUCGGCAGGUAACACAUGGACCAUACUGAUUUCCAUAUUCUCCAGGACUGAUGGGCCCAUUGGGUCAAUACCCUCCUUGCUCGGUUGGUCGGCAACGAACGAUUCCGUUGCUGUCAAAGUUGGACAACAAGACUCCUCUGUUUCCUCUGUGAUGGCUUCAUGCGGCGGUGCUGCAUCAGCGAGUCGUUGGUCCUGUGCGACCGCUUCAGGCAGGGUCGAAAUUGCCAGUGCUCUUGGGGCCAAAGCCUGAACCUGCUCUUGAUAGUGAAGCCGGGCAUCCCUGAUGUCGAGAUAAGCAUCUAGACGUGCGACACGUGCAACUUCAUCGGCCGUAAGGCCGAAGAGAGAAACAGCCGAAAAUACCUCGAAGUGAUAUCGUAAAUACUGAAGGUCCUCCAUCGAGAAAGGGAGGUCAGCUGCACCGAUAUCGGUGCACGGGUCAACUUCAAAUCCAAGGACCCGAGCUUCUCGGAUAUGCUGGAACCUUGCUUUCAGUCCUGGAUCUGAGGUCUUUUGGAUGACUCGCUCGGCAUCCGGACAAGUCAGGACCAGAUCAAUAGUGUCCUGGCAUGCCUUCGGCAAACCAUACAGAUCGUUGGCCGAAUGCUUCUUAUGAAAUUCUCGCAUAUAUUCCAAGGCCUCCCCAAGAAAUGGUGGAUGCAAAUUCCGUCGAAUUUUGAUCAAAGGUUCUUGUAUAGCUGGCGGUGCGAACUUGCUUUCGGCCUCUUGUCGGAAAAACUCGAGUCGUGCCUUCAUCUCCCCUGGCCGAAGAAGAAGUUUGAUCCGUUUAUCAGCCUCCUCGAACGUAGUUUCAACAUCUCGGUCGACCAACCGUUUCCCUUGAACCAACUCUGUCAUGAUAGAGGGACUUGGUCGCUCAUCAUCGGGAGCAAUUGUGUCUUUCGGCCGCCAUUUAGGGCCCGAAGUUUCAUGGGUUGCCCGUCGGCGAGCCAUGCAAUCUAUCCUUUGGUGCCUACGUUUUUGGGAUUUGGACAGUGCCGUGUAAACUCCCCUCGAAGAAUGAUAUGUAUACCACCGUUGAUCUUUAGGUUCAGGAGGUUUGAAGGUUUUCUGGCUCCGCGAUGAUUCUGUGCUGCUAGAAUUUCGUUUGUAGUAAUCAUCGUCAUAGAACGAAUCAUCAAAAUCGAGGCGCCUCCGAACCGGGGGUAUCUCUUCCAUCCGUACUUUAGGACCAAGCCUGUCAAAAACCCCUUGAUGUUGGCCUAUCUUGGCAACAGUCCGCCGGGUUGCGGCCACGGGUCGUUCCGUCCCACGUGAAGGGGGCUUCUCCUCUGACUCACUCUCGACCUUGUUCUACAUUUCCUGCACAAAACCACCGUCCCGCUGUCUUCAUCGGUGGUAUAAUCCAUCAUAGGUUUGACAACAGCGGGUCCUGUUAAAGCCGUAGGUGGUGCGUUUAAACGGAAAUCGGCCAUGAAGCGUGGCCGAGAACUCUGAGUCCGAAAACAUUGCGUCGUAACGACUUCGGCCUUCCCUUUCCCUUUGUCCUUAGGGAGGCACGCAUCGACCAUAUUCACGGUUGCCGUGGGGAACGGAUCAACGUCAAUACCCAUCUUCUUCUCAGGAAAUUUCAGUUUACCAUUAUCAAUCCAGCUUUGGACGUUGUCGCGAAAUACGACACAAUUGUUUGUCGUAUGUUUGCUCGAAUUGUGAUAUUUGCAAUACACCUUUCCUUUAAGCUCUUCGGCUUUAGGAAUGUUGUGACCAGGCCAAAGCUUGAUAAUUCUUGCGGACAACAGUUGGUCAAAAAUUGCGUCAGCCUUGGUAAUAUCAAAAGUGUAAACCUUCGACGGUUUCAAUGCUCCUUCGGUGGCCGAGCGACUUUUGACUUCUCUAGAAUCAACCUGAGUCAACGCCUUGCAAACGUAUGGCUUAUCUAUCACUAUCUCGGCCGCAUCCACACUAACGCAUUCAUCCUUGGUGGACGCAUAGUUGACAGUAGGAUUCUUGUAAAGCGUCCCCCGAGAUGGCGUUUUCGAAACCUUCUCCUCGCGGAGCAAAUAGUCAUACUGUUCGACAUGUUGGGCUAAUUCGUACAUGUCCCGAAAGUUUGCCCCCAAGAAUUUCUUUUUAUAUUCGACGUCUAACCCGUUCAAAGCAAGCCUGACGAAUUCUACUUCGGGUAAAGGUACUCGGCACCAAUUCCUGGCUGACUUGAACCUAGUAAGAUAAUCCAUUGGUGAUUCAUCAGAUGCCUGAGCCAUCCUUGCUAACGAAGAAACUGACAUCUCCAUCCCUGGCCGAUAAAACUGCUCAUGGAAUUUCUCGACCAACUCUUCCCAGUUCUGGACGGAAUUGGGGGGUAAAUUAAUGUACCAAGCGAAUGCCGAGCCGGUCAAUGAGAAGUUGAACAGCCGUAACUUAUGAAAGUCGCUAUUAACAUCUCCGCAUUGCGCGGUAAAACGAGCCACGUGUUCUAACGAAGAUAAGGACGAUUCACCGGCAAAGAGGCUAAAAUCUGGAAUCUUGAAGCCUUUAGGGUAUCCAAACGUUUCCACGUAAGCCGGGUACGGAUGGAUAAACUUAGGAAACUUCGGCCCCUUUUUCAUGGCCGAGUCAAUCAUCCGCUGGACUUCGGUCAUAUCAACAGGUGCUGCUUCACUCCUCUGGUUGGUUCCGUCUGACCCGCUGUUCGACCCUCCACCUUUUUCCAAUUCAAUUGGUUUGGGGCGAGCAGGAAUAGGUUCGGCCGGUACAAUUGGUAACGGAUUGUUUCCCGGAGGGCAAUGCUGGAGAAGAUCGGAAGGCCUGCUGCCACCGACUUUACUAAACAACAUUUCGAGCAACUUGUUCUGUCGCUCAGCAGAACUGACUAUCGCAUCAUGCAAUUUGUCGAUGCCUCGACUAAAUGUCUGCUCGACUGACCGAGACUGCUCGUCUAGUCGCUUUCGGAGAAACGACCUCGUUGGUGGGUCAGAUCCUUCACCACCAUCCUCGUCGCAAUCUUCUAUUAUCCCUUCAUUGAGAACGCACGUGUUUCUGUUAGGGAUCUCUAAACCACGGGGUUGACCGCCGAGAUUAACUUCUCUCUCUCGGCGAGUCGCGCUCGUGGACUCAGGUGUCGCAGCGCUAAGGAGGUUCUGCGCCUGUGGCACACUCUGUCCUAUGCUCUAACUCGGCAAAUCGGCUGUCGACUUUCCCAUAGCUGUUUUCUUCUUUACCGAUCGUGUUUCAAUUGGCAUGAACUUCGUAGUUUAGCACUGGGUCCCACCGGGCGUGCCAAAAUGUUGACCCUAGAAACUACAAAGGCCUACGUGGCGCGCAGACCGAGUAUUUUCUAAGCUAACUACGUCCUUCGGUGAUUGCGGGGGGUGCCAACUCGUCGGCCGAGCUCGGCCGAGGAGUAAAUUUGAUGAUGUUGCGUCGAGCGCGCUGCUGACUUCUGUGUCUUGCGAUUGCGGCCGAGGAAGGAACAAUUCUCGGCCUCUUGGGUUCUAGAGCCUGAAGACAAGGCUGCUAAUUUGCGAAGUUCAAUCUCAAAUUCGGCUGUCAAUGUGCCGAAUACAGUAACCUGGUAACACCUCACUUCGCCGAGAAGGCUGAUGAGAUGACCUCGACCAAUAGGGAUUCGGAAAUCCUUCUCGACUGAGACUUGGAUAGGUAACCAGUCGUCCUCGCCGCAGUGCUGUUGAUGCCAACGGAAGAUACUGCGAGACCGACUGACUCUACGGUGACAGAGCUAUCUAUGCCGACUUAAGAUAUCACCGGUUGCUUCCACAGUGCUGUUGAUGCCAACGGAAGAUGUGUCAGCGAAGAAAGGAAAAAGAAAAAUCACAAGUUGUGAGAGUUUGCGCAGGGCAAUUUUGUAUUGAUUUUG